rnacentral:lncRNA from 1 species
CUUGAUCAAUUACUUAGUAUGCUAACACAUAUAUAUACAUACUUUGCUUAAUAUCAAUAAAUUCUUCAUAUAUAGAUUGAAUUAGAAAUUCUAAAGCCAACUCAUGUGAUCUUAAUUGCCACAAGCCUUACUUAAACCCAAAUACAUAAAAACAUAGUGUAUACUAGCAUGUAAAUAUACAUUGCUUGCUUGCUACUUAAACUGUAAUUGAAUUUUGAAAGGAGAGAUAAUCGGAUGGGCUGAGCAAUGACAGGGAGUUGGCUUGACAAAGCUGGGUAAAAGGUUUGGUCAGAUGUUGGCAGUGAGAGGAUCUGCUUCGGUGACUUGGGCUGGAGCAGGAAGAGGAAGUACCGAGUUUUGGGGAAAAAGAAAACAACAAGGAACGAAAUCAUUAAUUUUAUAAAUCCCCUAUACUUGAAUACCACGGAAUUCUUGUUCCCUAAUCAAAAUUCCUUGCUCAACACCCAUUUUUCUUGACUGUUACUUCAAGGGUUGCUCACUCCUACCCAGCUCCUGCUUCUUAGCUUAGCCCAGUACUCAGUUUUUUUUCUUCUAUAUCAUGCUAACCUCCAUGACCAUUACCCAUUAAUUAAACAGCUCCUGCGAUUUUUAUUUCCCUAUCUUAACCGAGUCAUCAUGCUGCUCUUCUCUUCCUUUCCUAAUUGCUAGUCUUGUUUGGUUAUUUUGUUUCCUUAAGCUUGGCUUUGGUUUAUUUACACUCAAGUGUUAUUUUGUUUUUCUAAAUAACAUGUAUACUUAUUAUUCCUUAUUCCCCUACUCACAAUAUAAAUUAGAUAAUAC